UACGUAGGGUGCGAGCGUUGUCCGGAAUUACUGGGCGUAAAGAGCUCGUAGGUGGUUUGUCGCGUUGUUCGUGAAAACCGGGGGCUUAACCCUCGGCGUGCGGGCGAUACGGGCAGACUUGAGUACUGCAGGGGAGACUGGAAUUCCUGGUGUAGCGGUGGAAUGCGCAGAUAUCAGGAGGAACACCGGUGGCGAAGGCGGGUCUCUGGGCAGUAACUGACGCUCAGGCGCGACAGCGUGGGGAGCAAACAGG
rnacentral:rRNA from 1 species